ensembl:snRNA U7 U7 small nuclear RNA
CAGUGUUACAGCUCUUUUGGAAUUUGUCUAGCAGGCUUUCCGGUUUUCGCCGGAAAGCCCCU